GAUGAACGCUGGCGGCGUGCCUAAUACAUGCAAGUCGAGCGAACAGAUGAGGAGCUUGCUCCUCUGACGUUAGCGGCGGACGGGUGAGUAACACGUGGAUAACCUACCUAUAAGACUGGGAUAACUUCGGGAAACCGGAGCUAAUACCGGAUAAUAUAUUGAACCGCAUGGUUCAAUAGUGAAAGACGGUUUUGCUGUCACUUAUAGAUGGAUCCGCGCCGCAUUAGCUAGUUGGUAAGGUAACGGCUUACCAAGGCAACGAUGCGUAGCCGACCUGAGAGGGUGAUCGGCCACACUGGAACUGAGACACGGUCCAGACUCCUACGGGAGGCAGCAGUAGGGAAUCUUCCGCAAUGGGCGAAAGCCUGACGGAUCAACGCCGCGUGAGUGAUGAAGGUCUUCGGAUCGUAAAACUCUGUUAUUAGGGAAGAACAAAUGUGUAAGUAACUAUGCACGUCUUGACGGUACCUAAUCAGAAAGCCACGGCUAGCUACGUG
rnacentral:rRNA from 1 species